GUCCCCAGUGUCCCCAGUGCCACCGCUGUCCCGUGUGUGCGAGCAGGAGCGGAGCAGCCCCUGCGUGUGCCGAGAGAUCACUGCAUAUUGUGAAACCUUCCUGACACACAAAGGCUUUGGAAGCUGAGUGCCCUGAGGGCUGCUGGCUCAGAGCAGGGCUCGCCAAGGGGCCUUCUGUGAAAUCCCUUCUUCACUCAGGGAGAGAAAUAUUUGUCCAUCUGAUGGUACACCUGAAACAAAGUUACACGAUCUGUUGAUAUUUCUUAGUGCAGGGAUUAUGGUAUAGAAGCUUUCAAAUGUCACUCAGAAGCUGGGUGUUACUGCUGUGGCAACAUCAAAGAGUGAUAUUACAGAAGUAAAGACUGAGGAUAAAUUAUAUUGGCUAGAAUGGAUUUAUUUGUUCCCUGUGUGUAAAAUGUACCUUCUGUGCUCACAGGCUCACAAACAUGUGUCAUGGUACGUGAUUUAAUGUUGAAGAGCAUUUUCCAGCUACUUGUCUUGUGCAUUACUGAAAUGUAAAAGGUCACACAACUGCCUGCUCCCCUCCUCACCAAGCCCUAAACUAUCUGCUCAGGUUGACAGAGUGUCGAAACAGCUUUCCAGUGACUGUCACACUCUUCAGCUUGCCCGAAGGUGUCCUGACUUGUUAGGAGAGACAAGCAGGAGGAAUGGAAGAAGAACAAGCCCAGGGAUCUGAAGCCUCAGCCAUGACUGCUGAACUCAACACAAAGCCACUGACUGAAGGGAAAAGAGACUCAGACAAAGAAUCUAUGUUAAAAGUGAUCAAAAAUUCUGAUGGACAGUUUAACCUUGAGGCUGCAAUUAAAAAUGUUGAUACAAUGGCCAAUGAACUGAAGAAAAUAAAUGUGGAAAGCCAGCUACUGCUUUGUGACCUGAUUUUGAAUUUCAACCAUCCUGUGAAGGCCAAAGAUUUAAGAGAAGCUGAAGAAAAGACUUGGAGUUUGACAGAUUAAGUAACAUCCAUUUUUAUGCAUUGUCUUCUAUUAAUGCUGAUGAAACUACUGCUUUUUCUUCUUUCUUCUUCAUCUUUCUUUUAAUUAAGUUUGGACUGUUCAAUGAUAGCAUGGUUUCCUGCAGUUAGACUAUUUUUAUUUUAAGCUAAACAUGUGGAAUGGAAAAAAAGAGUAGGUUAUUGGUUCUGAGAGGGGUUUUUCAACCCACAUUUCCCAAAUUAAGCCCACUAGGACUGGAAAGACUGAUGUAAUUAAUUAAAAAGGUCAGGACACUGGGCAUGAAUUUCUUCACGUGGUUUUCUCCUUUUAAACAAAGACAUGUUGGAAUAGUAACAAAAGAUUUGAAAUUUGCUUCAAGUCACUGCUCUCUUAUCUCAGUUGUGCUCAGAGAAACAGAAAGAAAGAAAGAAACUGUCAGUGAAGGAGGAACUGCAACUUGUGUUUUGAGCUGCCUUCCUCAUCUUAAAAAUAUUGCUGAGGAAGGGGUCAAGGAGCAGAUUAUUUCUGGAAAACUAAAAGUACUUUCCAUUCUAGUUUCUGUAAUGACUCUCUAAUGCAACUAGCUACAAAAAUAGGGGGGAGUUUGUGGUUUCAAUGCUCUAUCCUGAAAUCUUCUUGGCCCAACAUUUGCACAGCAACUGCUUUCACGUAGUUCAUUGCAAUUAAUAUUCAAUCACACUUUAUUUGUGGACAUGUUUGAAUGUUGAGAUGUAUUUUUAUUCUUACACUAAAUAUCUUUCUCUGACUAAUCAAAUAGAGAUUUAUUCUACUUUAAAAAAUAUGCAGUGUUAGAAUUUGUUAUGCUGGUUUAUAUUUUCUUUCUCCUUCACUGGUGAGGUGGUUUAAAAUUAAUAAAAUGCAAUUCCAUAGGAGGUGUUUCUAGGUUGUCAGAUUGUUCAAGGCAGGGCAGUGGAGCAUAAUUACAGUUCACAAGAGUCAGUGGUGAUAUGGGGGAUGUUGUUCUUAAUUUUAACGGUUUUUGAAAAAGACAGAUUUGAAGUGACUUUUUGUUCAUCAGAUUAGGAGACAACUUUUAAAAAUAUUGGGCUAGAAGCCGCUUUUGUCACCUGAAGAAUUUUUUUAAUUUUAUUUUUCAUCUCUUUUUUGAACUCCUAGUUGCAUGGAAAUGAACUUUGCUAACUUUGAAUUCCAGCUCUUACCCAAACAUCUUAGAAAGUAACAUCUACAAAACAUAUCUCUAUAAGAAUAACUGUUUAUGAAAUCUGAUUAUGUUAUCUGGGAAGCUUUACCGAUUAUAUGAAAGUUAUUUUCUACCUUGAA